GGCCAGCUGAUCCAUUUAGGGCAGGACUCACCCUUAGGGAUGGUCACUCAGUCUCUGCUGAAAUAAAUUCCCAAGGCUUUCAUAGGAAGUGGACAUGACGGAAACAUCAUGGAAGACUCUAGCAUGUGAGGUCCACGUUACCGAAAAGAGCUCCCUGCACACAGGAGCUGACUGGCUCUGUGGUUGAGGAUUACAGCCCAGGUGAACAAGGAGGCUUGCCGGCCCUAAUCUUGUGGGCUGCGUCCCGCGGGCUGGUGUUGGCGGGCAUCCUGCAGUCUUAUAUUUCAGGCUCCACGGCCUUAGAUCCAUCAACUAUCUCUCACGCAACAGGAUUCUUCUACCACUGUCCUUAUGGAAUUUGUCAUUGGCCGUCUGAUUAAAAUGUGCUCUUGAAAAUGAAACGCAAAAUUCCAGUGUUUUGGGUUUUUUUUCUGUGGAAGAGUCACAUCGCAAGAAUCCUUCUUGAAUGAAUAUCAAUAGUGGGGCAGUUGGAAAUCAUACUUUCUUCAUUAUAUUUGGCAAAGAAAAAAUAUACUUCUUUUUAGAGGCACUCCACCCUUCAGCUGCAACUCAUUACUGUCUACCUAAAUGCACUAAACUAGCCAGAAAGCAAAUGUUUCCCAUUACAAAUGACAUUUAUCAGCUAGUCUCAGGGCUAGGUCUCCUUCAAAAUUGAUCUAGUUUGGAAGAAUGGUUAUGAGUCACUACUGGAUUUCUCAGUGCUUUCAAAGUGAAAAAAUGCAAUGGAUGAUAUGAUUAUCAUUG